rnacentral:rRNA from 1 species
GUGGGGAAUCUUGCGCAAUGGGCGAAAGCCUGACGCAGCCAUGCCGCGUGAAUGAUGAAGGUCUUAGGAUUGUAAAAUUCUUUCACCGGGGACGAUAAUGACGGUACCCGGAGAAGAAGCCCCGGCUAACUUCGUGCCAGCAGCCGCGGUAAUACGAAGGGGGCUAGCGUUGCUCGGAAUUACUGGGCGUAAAGGGCGCGUAGGCGGAUCGUUAAGUCAGGGGUGAAAUCCCAGAGCUCAACUCUGGAACUGCCCUUGAUACUGGCGAUCUUGAGUGUGAGAGAGGUAUGUUGAACUCCGAGUGUAGAGGUGAAAUUCGUAGAUAUUCGGAAGAACACCAGUGGCGAAGGCGACUCACUGGCCCAAUACUGACGCUGAGGCGCGAAAGCGUGGGGAGCAAACAGGAUUAGAAACCCGUGUAGUCC